UGGGGAAUAUUGCACAAUGGGCGAAAGCCUGAUGCAGCGACGCCGCGUGAGGGAUGACGGCCUUCGGGUUGUAAACCUCUUUCAGCAGGGAAGAAGCGCAAGUGACGGUACCUGCAGAAGAAGCGCCGGCUAACUACGUGCCAGCAGCCGCGGUAAUACGUAGGGCGCAAGCGUUGUCCGGAAUUAUUGGGCGUAAAGAGCUCGUAGGCGGUCUGUCGCGUCUGGUGUGAAAUCCCGAGGCUCAACCUCGGGCUUGCAUCGGGUACGGGCAGACUAGAGUGCGGUAGGGGAGACUGGAAUUCCUGGUGUAGCGGUGGAAUGCGCAGAUAUCAGGAGGAACACCGAUGGCGAAGGCAGGUCUCUGGGCCGAUACUGACGCUGAGGAGCGAAAGCGUGGGGAGCGAA
rnacentral:rRNA from 1 species